CCCCCCCCCCAAUUUUGGGUCCAGCUUCAGACCUGGCUUCCCUGCGGGUCUCAGACCCCGGCCCUGCUGCGUCCCCACCCUUUGGUCACCGGCACUCUGAGCGCAGGGCCCCGGCCGCAGAGGCCGCAGAGGCUGCAGAGGCUUACGGAAGGGCUGGCCCUGCUGUGCACACGGCCCGGUGGUCAGGCUGGGGGACCUGGACUAGCCAGAUCAGGACGGGACAGGACUGGACAGGACAGGGUGCGGGGACCUGAAUGGGACUGGACAGGACCGGACAGGUUCUCUCUCCACUUUGGCUGUCUCCCACGAGCACGCGCAGACUGCAGGGCCCAGGCUCGCCUCUCCCGGUGCUCGCAGUGACCAGGAGCGGUCCAGAGAAGCAAGGAAACUUGUCAAGGGUAUCAUAAGGAUCCUGGAGAUGACCGAACAUAUGUGGGUGGUGUGCACAGGUCACACGAGAACCUCGUGUCACUUUAUGUGAAGGAUGUGAGGACCUGUGGGUCCUUGGGGCCCUGGAGCUGAUCCCUCAUGGAUCCUAAGGAACAACUACGUAUGCACUCAGCUGGCUAACUGAUGCAGGCAUUUUGUCACAGUACUGGAGUGCUGAUCCUGAGCCUGCUCCCUAGAGAAUGUCGCAGUCACCUGGGAUGACUCCACAGCAGGCCCCUCUGCAGGGUUCCAUCCUGUUCCCCACCACUAUCACCUUGCUGAGGACAGCUCAGCAUGUGGAGCAGGGGCAGAGACAGCCUGCUGUCACUGCCACCCCAACCCUAAGCCUUUCCUGGGCUCCUUAGAGUCCAAGCCAAGGUCCUCUCUCUUUCCUCUUCCCACCCAGAUGCCUAUUGUCACCUGUUGCCUGGCAAAGCCAUUGCUUUACCUGACUUGGUGUGGGGCCAGGCUGAAGUCUCAGGGCUGCAUUUGCACCCAGUAGUCCAGGCUGUGCCCCCUCCAUUCUCCUACUGGCUCUAACAUCUCAGUCACAGCCAUGUUUCCUGAUCCUGCCUCCAGCAUGGCAGGAUGUAGCUGUCUCCUCAAGUUUUAGGACUUCUCUCAUCCCUUCCACCAAAGACCACCCACCUCUUCUUUUCACUGCUGCUUCUUUUAAAAAAUUGAUUAAAUU
rnacentral:lncRNA from 1 species